rnacentral:rRNA from 1 species
AGUGAACGCUGGCGGUAGGCCUAACACAUGCAAGUCGAACGGCAGCACAGUAAGAGCUUGCUCUUACGGGUGGCGAGUGGCGGACGGGUGAGGAAUACAUCGGAAUCUACUUUUUCGUGGGGGAUAACGUAGGGAAACUUACGCUAAUACCGCAUACGACCUACGGGUGAAAGCAGGGGAUCUUCGGACCUUGCGCGAUUGAAUGAGCCGAUGUCGGAUUAGCUAGUUGGCGGGGUAAAGGCCCACCAAGGCGACGAUCCGUAGCUGGUCUGAGAGGAUGGUCGGCCAACCUGAAACUGAGCACGGGUCCAGCCUCCACGGGAGGCAGCAGUGGGGAAUAUUGGACAAUGGGCGCAAGCCUGAUCCAGCCAUACCGCGUGGGUGAAGAAGGCCUUCGGGUUGUAAAGCCCUUUUGUUGGGAAAGAAAAGCAGCAGGUUAAUACCCCGCUGUUCUGACGGUACCCAAAGAAUAAGCACCGGCUAACUUCGUG